rnacentral:tRNA from 1 species
GCGGAUAUGGUGGAAUUGGUAGACAUGCUAGAUUUAGGAUCUAGUGCCGCAAGGCGUGUGGGUUCGACUCCCUCUAUCCGCACCA